CCCGUGUAUAUAUGAUGAUUUAAAAUGUUGGUAGGGACAACUGAAUAUUUGUGUAGAAUGCCAACCGCUCUGACUGCACGGG